AGUCAAAACUAUUGCCAUAAUAUAAAAAUAAAAAUAAACAUUACGCUAUUAAUUCGACAAUGAAUAAUAAUUAAUAAGGCCGAUAUUACAAUGAUUUACGUUUCUUGAAUCCGAAAAUUGUUGUUACUUAGACAAAAAUCGUAUGGAUAUUUAAUAAUUUUAUUGUCUAUACAAUCAUUAAAAACCUAUUUAAAAUACCUAAUUCAUUUUGUUUUAGGUUAUCUAAGUUUUAGAUAUUCCAUUCACUGAUGUCCUACAGAUGUCACCGGUGCGUUUUCGCAUCUACCCAAGUUUUCUCUCACAGGAUGUCACGCAGUAACUGCACCACUGCCUGCCUACACCACAAAUAUUUUAUACGCUUUUUCUGACGGGAUAUCUCAUAUCACCCUACGGUUCGCUUAUCUACUACUGAUGCUCCAUGAGCUGGCUCUUACAAUCAAAUAACUAACAUUAAUGAAAAUAAUUAUAUAUUUUACUUACCAUGA